AUGUGUGAGUCCUUUAACAACUCCAUCAUGAGAGCAAGGUUUUAUCCUGUGAUUACUAGUCACGAGAUCAUAAGGAAGAAGGUCAUGGCUAGAAUUCAAGAAAACAGAGCAAAGCCUGAGAAGUGGAGUGAAAAAAUAUGCCCUAAUAUUUUCAAAAAGUUGCAGAUUAACAUAAAGAGAUCAGGAAGAUGCAAUGUGCUAUGGAAUGGCAAAGAAGGAUUUGAAGUGCAGGAAGGUGAGUAUAGAAGGUUCACAGUUGACCUAGAGAAGUGGACUUGCUCUUGUAGAUAUUGGGAGCUCUCUGGGUUGCCCUGUUGUCAUGCAAUCAGUGUAGUAUACACAUGUUGUUUAUGCCUUGAUGACUUCAUUGCACCUUGUUACUUCAUCAACACAUACAAC
rnacentral:rRNA from 1 species